UUGACGUCGGAUAUUUGAUCUGAAAUAAACUAAUAAAAAUUAUACAAAAGGGAUAGAGUUCAGUCAUCGACAUUUGAAGACGCUACAGUUUUCAAGGUGCAGAAUGAGCAUCUGGGGUCAAAGAGUACGAGCUUGCCAUGCUUGGUCUGAUGGUGGCGCCACUCUGUUUGCUCUCUGCGUGAAAGAUCAAUGCUGCGAUGCUGUUCUUCCUUGGGCAGACAUAAACACCCAUCUGCUGGACUAAGGUUUCGGACAAACUGCGUCUAAAGAUGGAGAACGAAGACAAGGCAGCCAACCACACAACCAACAGCUGGCAGGCAGGAAGUGGAUUGAGUUUACAGCCUCCCAGGACUUCUUUGCCAAAUUAUAAGCAAAGACAAUAUGUUUGUUUUGUUUGUUUGUUUUUU